UAUAAUACAAAAAAAUGAAAAUUAAAAGUCAUUAUUUUCAGCCUUCUCCCAUUGCCAUUCGACUGCACCUUCAUUGAAAAAAUAAUCAGCGAAUCUUUCCCUAUAAAUUGUUGACAAAUUACGUGAAGUUACAUCUUGGCAAGUUCUUUUUGGCGAAUUUCUUAAAAAUGGAGGUAUUUAAAGGCCUACGAAAAAUUCUCCAUCUUGCUACUAAAAGGCAUUUUCAAUAAUACGUCUUGCUCUGCUACGACGAUAAUUGUACACUUUUUUCUUUAAAUCAAGAUCUAAUCUUCUUGGGUAAGGUCGCAUCAAAUACGAUGCUAAAGGAUAUGCUUCGUCGCCAACCAAAACAUACGGCAGCUCUUUUUCACCAACUGGAGCAGGUAGAGAUAUAUUUAAAGUGUUUGAAUGUAAUCUUGAUCGAAUACUGCUAUUAGCAAACACUCCACCAUCGCUUUGACGACCUUCUGCUCCAACGUCAAAAUGAAGCGAUAGUGUGCAUUAGAAAUACCGGUAAAAUUGAUGCUAUGAGUUUUUUUAUAAUUAAAAUAAGUGGAACCACUAUACGGAGGAGCCUGAAAUUUAAUAAAGCAUUUAUAACAUAUUUGUAUCAACGCAUCUUAAAUAAAGGGAAAGCUAAAAUGAA